rnacentral:misc_RNA from 1 species
UCUCCGUUGGUGAACCAGCGGAGGGAUCAUUACAGAGUCGUAAAACACUCCCAAACCCAUGUGAACUUACCUAUGUUGCCUCGGUGGGAGCCUACCCUGUACCUACCCUGUAACGGGUUACCCGGGAGCGGCCCCACCGGUGGACCAUUAAACUCUUGUUAUUCUAUGGAUAUCUGAGCGUCUUAUUUAAUAAGUUAAAACUUUCAACAACGGAUCUCUUGGUUCUGGCAUCGAUGAAGAACGCAGC